GUGCUUGCUUUGGCAGCACCUAUACUAAAACUGGAAUGAUACAGAGGAGGUUAGCAUGGCCCCUGCACAGGGAUGACACACAAAUUCAUAAACAAAGCUGGUUAAG
ensembl:snRNA U6 U6 spliceosomal RNA